GUGAGUUAUAUGUUGUUUGAAAGAGAUAAGGCUGGUGUUUCUAUUGGGAAUUUUGGUUGGCCAUUGGCUAAUACUGUUGUUUUUGGAGUGCUGUUGAGUGAGAAUUAUAGUGAAGACAAGCUAGUGUCUUCUAAAGACUUCCACAGAGAGUUUUUUGUUACAUUUGUUUGCACUAUUGUUUUGGAGCUAUUCUACUUCCCGGAGCUGUCACUUUGGGGUCUUUUGUUAUGUGGUUUGUUAUUGUAUUUUGGCGUUAGGAAGUUGGAUCCUUUCUAUUCAAAUUACCUUGAACUAGGAUUGGAAUCACCAGAACCACUUAGUACUUCGAUUAUGAAGCCAAUCCGCCACAUUUUGAGUGAGAGAAAAUCUCGCAAGAUUGCACUUUUUCUUCUGAUUAACACUGGUUACAUGGUUGUUGAAUUUGUUGCUGGGUUCAUGAGUAACAGUCUUGGAUUGAUUUCGGAUGCUUGUCACAUGUUGUUUGAUUGUGCUGCUUUGGCAAUAGGUCUAUAUGCUUCUUAUAUUUCACGUUUGCCUGCAAAUAGUCAGUUCAACUAUGGACGGGGAAGGGUUGAGGUUCUUUCAGGAUAUGUUAAUGCUGUUUUCCUGGUUCUCGUUGGGGCACUAAUUGUUUUGGAGUCAUUUGAGAGAAUUUUGGAUCCACAAGAGAUAUCAACUAAUAGUUUAUUAACUGUGUCAAUUGGAGGGCUUGUAGUGAAUGUAGUUGGUUUGAUUUUCUUUCAUGAGGAGCAUCAUCAUGCUCACGGUGGAUCUGGAUCAUGCUCUCCCUCUCACUCUCACUCUCACUCCCACUCCCACUCCCACGCCCAAUCCCACUCCCACUCCCACUCCCACUCCCA
rnacentral:misc_RNA from 1 species